rnacentral:rRNA from 1 species
GAUGAACGCUGGCGGCGUGCCUAAUACAUGCAAGUCGAGCGAACAGACGAGGAGCUUGCUCCUCUGACGUUAGCGGCGGACGGGUGAGUAACACGUGGAUAACCUACCUAUAAGACUGGGAUAACUUCGGGAAACCGGAGCUAAUACCGGAUAAUAUAUUGAACCGCAUGGUUCAAUAGUGAAAGACGGUUUUGCUGUCACUUAUAGAUGGAUCCGCGCCGCAUUAGAUAGUUGGUAAGGUAACGGCUUACCAAGGCAACGAUGCGUAGCCGACCUGAGAGGUGGGUCGGCCACACUGGAACAGAGACCGGUACCACACUCCGACGGGAGGCAGAAGUGGGGAAUCUUCCAAAAUGGGCGAAACCCUGAGGAAGCAGUGCCGGGGGGGGGAAGAAGUCUUUCUGAUCGAAAACCUUUUUUUUUGGGAAAGAAAAAUAGUAGAAUAAUAAACCCCUGUUUUGAGGGAACCUAAAAAAAAGCCAACGCCAAACUCCGUC